rnacentral:tRNA from 1 species
GGCGUUAUAGCUUAGUGUUAGAGCACUUGCCUAGAAUGCAGGAGGCUCUGAGUUCAAUCUCUAGCACCC